rnacentral:rRNA from 2 species
GGAUGCGAUCAUACCAGCACUAAAGCACCGGAUCCCAUCAGAACUCCGAAGUUAAGCAUGCUUGGGCGAGAGUAGUACUAGGAUGGGUGACCUCCUAGGAAGUCCUCGUGUUGCAUUCC